ACCACUGUAACACACCUCAGGUCUAAGCUGCAUACCUUCAGCGUCAUUCCGCUGUGUGUCUCUCCCUCUGUGUGUUCUCUCUCCCUCUCUCUCUCUGUGUUCUCUCCUCUGUGGUGUUCUCUCUCCUCUCCUCCUCCUGUGUGUUCGCUCCGCUGUUGGUCUCUCUCCGCUCUCCUCCUCUGUUGUUCGUCCCUCUGUGUUCCUCCUCUGUGUGUUCUUCCCUCUGUUGGUUCUCUCCUCUGUGGUUAUCUCCUCCUGUGUGUGCUCUCUCCUCUGUGUGUUCUCUCUCCUCUCCUCUCCUCGGUGUUUCUCUCUCCUCUGUCUGUUCUCUCCUCCGGUGUUUCUCCGUCCUCUGUGUGGUUCUCUCCUCUGUGUGUUCUCCUCCCUCCUCUGUGUUUUCUCUCUGUGUGUUUCCUUCCUCCUCUCCUCUGUGUUCUCUCUCCUCUCUCUCCUCUGUGCUCCUCUCUCUCCUCUCUCUCCGUCUGUGUGUUCUCUCUCCCCCUCUCCUCUGUGUUCUCUCCUCUCCCCUCUCCCUCUGUGUUCUCUCUCCUCUCCUCCUCUGUGUGUGCUCUCCUCUCUUCUCUCUCCUCUGUUGUUCUCUCUCCUCUCUCUCCCUCUGUGUGUUCUCCUCUCUCUCUGUGUGUUCUCUCUCCUCUCCGCUCUCUCCUCUCCGUGUGUGUCUCUCCUCUCUCGCCCUGUGGGUUCCCCCCCGUUUCACUCCCUCUCCUCCUCCUCUCUCUCUGUUGGGUUGCUCCUCUCUCUCCUCUCUCCUCCUCUGUGUGUGUUCUCCUCUCUCGCCUCCCUCUGUCUCCCUCUCGCGAUGUCUCUCUCUCUCCUUCUGGGGUGUUCCACUCUCCUCUGGUUUCUCCCUCUCUGUGUUCUCUCUCCUCUCUCUCCUCUGUGUUCUCUAUCCUCUCCUCCUCUGUGGUGUUCUCUCUCACUCUCUUCUCCUCUGUGUGUUCUCUCUCUCCUAUGUGGUCUCAUCUCUCCUCGGGGUCCCUCGUCUCUCCUCUGUGUUCUCUCUCCCUCGCACUCUCCUCUCCUCGUUUGGGUUCUCUUUCCUUUUCUCUUCCUCUCUCCCCGUCCUCUGUGUGGUCGCGCGCCUCCUCAGCUGUGUGUUCUCUCUCCUCUGUGGUGUUUCUCCUUCCUCUGUGGGGGGGGAGUGUUCUCCUCUCCUUCUCUCUCCUCUGUGUGUUCUCCUCUCCAUCUCCUCCUCCUCUGUUGUUCUCUCUCCUCCUCUCUCUCCUCUGUGUGUGUUCUCUCUCCUCUCUCCUUGUGUGUUCCUCUCCUCUCCGCUUCCUCGCUCCUCCUCCGGGUGUUCUCUCCUCUCUCCUCUGGGUGUUU
rnacentral:lncRNA from 1 species